GAUUCUGGGGCGCAAGGGUAGCGCGUCUGACUUCAGAUCAGAGGGCUGAAGGCUCAAAUCACGUCAGGGUCA
rnacentral:tRNA from 1 species